rnacentral:rRNA from 1 species
UUUUCAUGAAGCCUAGCGAUUGAAAGUUAGUGGCGGACGGGUGAGUAACGCGUGGGUAACCUGCCUUGUACUGGGGGACAACAGUUGGAAACGACUGCUAAUACCGCAUGAAGCAUAGGGGUCGCAUGAUUCUUAUGCCAAAGAUUUAUCGCUUCAAGAUGGCCUCGCGUCUGAUUAGAUAGUUGGUGGGGUAACGGCCUACCAAGUCGACGAUCAGUAGCCGGACUGAGAGGUUGAACGGCCACAUUGGGACUGAGAUACGGCCCAGACUCC